ACCAAUGUGCUACAGUUCUAACAAUAGAAUCACCCCGGGACUGAAGGGAUUGUCUUAAGACCAAUGUGACUGUCUCAGAGUUAAGAUAAAAAUAACACAUAAAACAAGGCAUUCAAAAGGGCUAGCAGCAGCUGCCAUGGUUUAAUAGUUAAAAAGACCAAACCCUUGAGAAAGGCCCUGUGCAGUGGGUGAUAUAAAAAACAUUUCAUAAGAGGUUUAUAUUAUUGAAACCAAAACAGUAUACAAUGUAGUCUAUUCUCAUCCCUACCCUCAAUAACUCCCUAAUGGCCCAUGUGGCCCUGGUCAAACGUAGUGCAUUAUAUAGGGAAUAUGGUCCCAUUUGGGACUCAGCCCUUAUGAAUGGCUCAGUGUCGUGUAGAGCAGGUUGCCCAGGUCAGUAGCCUCCUGGGAGAAUGGUGAUUGAUUACAUGACUUUGUUCCACCUGGUAAAUCUCUUCAAUGGAUCCCUGCAUCCCAUCUCUGCAUCUAAUCAAUACAUUCAUACGUAUGACUCAGACUAAUGACAUUUAAUAGGGGCUGAGCUGGGGAUGGGACUAGGGCUGGGGAUGGGACUAGGUCUGAGCUGGGGAUGGGACUAGGGCUGGGGAUGGGACUAGGUCUGAGCUGGGGAUGGGACUAGAGCUGGGGAUGGGACUAGGGCUGGGGAUGGGACUAGGGCUGGGGAUGGGACUAGGGCUGGGGAUGGGACUAGGGCUGGGGAUGGGACUAGGGCUGGGGAUGGGACUAGGUCUGAGCUGGGGAUGGGACUAGAGCUGGGGAUGGGACUAGGGCUGGGGAUGGGACUAGGUCUGAACUGGGGAUGGGACUAGGGCUGGGGAUGGGACUAGAGCUGGGGAUGGGACUAGGGCUAAACUGGGGAUGGGACUAGGUCUGAGCUGGGGAUGGGACUAGGGCUGAGGAUGGGACUAGGGUUGAGCUGGGGAUGGGACUAGGGCUGGGGAUGGGACUAGGUCUGAGCUGGGGAUGGGACUAGGACUGGGGAUGGGACUAGGUCUGAGCUGGGGAUGGUCCUAGGUCUGGGGAUGGGACUAGGGCUGGGACUAGGUCUGAGCUGGUGAUGGGACUAGGACUGGGGAUGGGACUAGGGCUGAGCUGGGGAUGGGACUAGGGCUGAGCUGGGGAUGGGACUAGGUCUGAGCUGGGGAUGGGACUAGGGCUGAGCUGGGGAUGGGACUAAGGCUGAGCUGGGGAUGGGACUAGGGCUGAGCUGGGGAUGGGACUAAGGCUGAGCUGGGGAUGGGACUAGGGCUGGGGAUGGGACUAGGGCUGAGCUGGGGAUGGGACUAGGGCUGGGGAUGGGACUAGUGCUGAGCUGGGGAUGGGACUAGAGCUGGGGAUGGGACUAGGGCUGGGGGGAUGGGACUAG
ensembl:lncRNA